CCCAGACUCCUACGGGAGGCAGCAGUGGGGAAUAUUGCACAAUGGGGGAAACCCUGAUGCAGCGACGCCGCGUGAGUGAAGAAGUAUUUCGGUAUGUAAAGCUCUAUCAGCAGGGAAGAUAAUGACGGUACCUGACUAAGAAGCCCCGGCUAACUACGUGCCAGCAGCCGCGGUAAUACGUAGGGGGCAAGCGUUAUCCGGAUUUACUGGGUGUAAAGGGUGCGCAGGUGGCAGGGCAAGUCAGAUGUGAAAGCCCGGGGCUCAACCCCGGUAUUGCAUUUGAAACUGUCCGGCUAGAGUGCAGGAGAGGUAAGCGGAAUUCCUAGUGUAGCGGUGAAAUGCGUAGAUAUUAGGAGGAACACCAGUGGCGAAGGCGGCUUACUGGACUGUAACUGACACUGAGGCACGAAAGCGUGGGGAGCAAACAGGAUUAGAUACCCCCGUAU
rnacentral:rRNA from 1 species